rnacentral:rRNA from 1 species
AUUGAACGCUGGCGGAAUGCUUUACACAUGCAAGUCGAACGGUAACAGGUCUUCGGAUGCUGACGAGUGGCGAACGGGUGAGUAAUAUAUCGGAACGUGCCCAGUCGUGGGGGAUAACGUAGCGAAAGUUACGCUAAUACCGCAUACGAUCUAUGGAUGAAAGCGGGGGAUCGCAAGACCUCGCGCGAUUGGAGCGGCCGAUAUCAGAUUAGGUAGUUGGUGGGGUAAAGGCUCACCAAGCCAACGAUCUGUAGCUGGUCUGAGAGGACGACCAGCCACACUGGAACUGAGACACGGUCAGACUCCUACGGGAGGCAGCAGUGGGGAAUUUUGGACAAUGGACGCAAGUCUGAUCCAGCCAUUCCGCGUGCAGGAUGAAGGCCCUCGGGUUGUAAACUGCUUUUGUACGGAACGAAAAGGUCUCUCCUAAUACGAGGGGCUCAUGACGGUACCGUAAGAAUAAGCACCGGCUAACUACGUGCCAGCCGCCGCAGUAAGAC